UGCUCUGAUGAUGCUAAAACUUAAAACUUUCGUUCUCCUGAGAUUUCGAUGUGCUGAAAAAAAUAUGGAGACCUGAACUGAAGAGUU
rnacentral:snoRNA from 1 species